rnacentral:SRP_RNA from 1 species
GUCAGGUGUAGUGGCGUGCACCUGCAGUCCUAGCCACUCUGGAGGCUGAGGUGGGAGGAUCACUUGAGCCCAGGAGGUUGAGGCUGCAGUGAGCUGUGAUGGCACCACUGCACUCCAGCCUGGGCAACAGAGUGAGACCCUGUCUCAA